UAAGAAAGUAAGUAAGGGCGCAUGGCGGAUGCCUUGGCUCUCAGAGGCGAUGAAGGACGUGAUAAGCUGCGAUAAGCUUCGGGUAGGUGCAAAUAACCUUUAAUCCGAAGAUUUCCGAAUGGGGAAACCCUCUUGACUGAAGGUCAAGAAUCUCGAAAGAGAAGCAAACCCGGAGAACUGAAACAUCUAAGUACCCGGAGGAAGAGAAAACAAUAGUGAUUCCCUAAGUAGUGGCGAGCGAACAGGGAAGAGCCCAAACCAAGGUUGUUAAGGCAAUCUUGGGGUUGUAGGACUGCAAUAUCUUAAUAAAUAGAAAGUGGAACAUUCUGGAAAGUUUGGUCAUAGUGGGUGAUAAUCCCGUACACGUAAUGAUUUAUUAAGUAGCAGUAUCCUGAGUACCGCGAGACCGGAGAAAUCUUGUGGGAACCCGCCGGCACCAUCCGGCAAGGCUAAAUACUACUGAGAGACCGAUAGUGAACUAGUACCGUGAGGGAAAGGUGAAAAGAACCGCGAACAGCGGAGUGAAAUAGAACCUGAAACCAUGCGCUUACAAGCGGUUGGAGCGGCUUCGUGCCGUGACAGCGUGCCUUUUGCAUAAUGAGCCUACGAGUUACUCCUCUCUAGCAAGGUUAAGUCAUAAAGUGACGAAGCCGAAGCGAAAGCAAGUCUGAAUAGGGCGUAUAGUUAGAGGGGGUAGACGCGAAACCUUGUGAUCUACCCAUGAUCAGGUUGAAGCCUCGAUAACACGAGGUGGAGGACCGAACCGAUAAGCGUUGAAAAGCUUCCGGAUGAGUUGUGGGUAGGGGUGAAAGGCUAAUCAAACUGGGAAAUAGCUCGUACUCUCCGAAAUGUUUUUAGGAACAGCCUCGAGGUCGAGUAUUAUAGAGGUAGAGCUACUGAUUGGACUAGGGGGCUUCACCGCCUACCAAAUCCUGACAAACUCCGAAUACUAUAAUACAUACUCGGGAGUGAGGCGUUGGGUGCUAAGGUCCAGCGCCAAAAGGGAAAGAACCCAGACCAACAGCUAAGGUCCCCAAAUCUAUGUUAAGUUGAUCAAAUGUGGUCCGAUUGCUUUGACAGCUAGGAUGUUGGCUUGGAAGCAGCCAUUCAUUUAAAGAGUGCGUAACAGCUCACUAGUCGAGCGAUUGGGCGUAAAUAAUAAUCGGGCAUUAAACAUAGUACCGAAGCUUUGGAUUCUUCGUAAGAAGAGUGGUAGGAGAGCAUUCCUGCAGCACCGAAGAUGUGGCGUAAGCCAUGUUGGAGCAGCAGGAAAAGCAAAUGUAGGCAUAAGUAACGAUAAUGCGGGCGAGAAACCCGCACACCGUAAGACUAAGGUUUCCUGAUCAACGCUAAUCGGAUCAGGGUUAGUCGGGUCCUAAGGCGUAUCCGAACGGAAAAGUCGAUGGACAACAGGUUAAUAUUCCUGUACCAGCAUUUAUUGCGAUGGGGUAACGAAGGAGUGAAAGUUCUCCGUACUGACGGAAUAGUACGGUAAAAGGUGUAGAUUAAGUUGUAACAGGCAAAUCCGUUAUAAUUCUCGAACCCAAUAGUACCGCGAGUCCUCGGACAAGUGGAUAUGAACCUAAACAAACUUCCAAGAAAAACCUCUAAGCUUCAGAUAGAUGCUGCCCGUACCGCAAACCGACACAGGUAGUCGAGGAGAGAAUCCUAAGGUGCUCGAGUGAAUCAUGGCUAAGGAACUCGGCAAAUUAACCCUGUAACUUCGGGAGAAAGGGUGCCCCGCGCAAGCGGGGCCGCAGUAAAAUGGCCCAGGCGACUGUUUAUCAAAAACACAUGGCUUUGCUAAAUCGAAAGAUGACGUAUAAGGCCUGACACCUGCCCGGUGCUGGAAGGUUAAGAGGAGAUGUUAGUCGUAAGGCAAAGCAUUGAAUUGAAGCCCCAGUAAACGGCGGCCGUAACUAUAACGGUCCUAAGGUAGCGAAAUUCCUUGUCGGGUAAGUUCCGACCUGCACGAAUGGUGUAACGAUCUGGGCACUGUCUCAGCCAUGAGCUCGGUGAAAUUGUAGUAUCGGUGAAGAUGCCGAUUACCCGCAACGGGACGGAAAGACCCCGUGCACCUUCACUAUAGCUUAACAUUGACUUUGGAUAAAUAAUGUGUAGGAUAGGUGGGAGACUUUGAAGCAGCUUCGCCAGGAGUUGUGGAGUCAACCUUGAAAUACCACCCUUUAUUUAUUUGGAGUCUAAUCUCGAAAGAGAGACAUUGUUUGGUGGGUAGUUUGACUGGGGUGGUCGCCUCCAAAAUUGUAUCGGAGGCUUUCAAAGGUACCCUCAGCACGCUUGGUAACCGUGCGUAGAGUGCAAUAGCAAAAGGGUGCUUAACUGUGAGACCUACAAGUCGAGCAGAAUCGAAAGAUGGAUAUAGUGAUCCGGUGGUUCCGCAUGGAAGGGCCAUCGCUCAUAGGAUAAAAGGUACGCCGGGGAUAACAGGCUGAUCACCCCCAAGAGCUCAUAUCGACGGGGUGGUUUGGCACCUCGAUGUCGGCUCGUCACAUCCUGGGGCUGGAGAAGGUCCCAAGGGUUAGGCUGUUCGCCUAUUAAAGUGGCACGCGAGCUGGGUUCAGAACGUCGUGAGACAGUUCGGUCCCUAUCUGUUGUGGGCGUUAGAAGUUUGAGAGGACCUAUCUCUAGUACGAGAGGACCGAGAUGGACAAACCACUGGUAUACCUGUUGUGACGCCAGUUGCAGUGCAGGGUAGCUAAGUUUGGAUGAGAUAAGCGCUGAAAGCAUCUAAGUGCGAAACUUACCUCAAGAUUAGACUUCUUCUAAGGGUCGUCAUAGAUGAUGACGUUGAUAGGUUGUAAGUGUAAAGACAGUAAUGUCAAAGCUGAGCAAUACUAAUUACCCGUUAGCUUUCUUAGU
rnacentral:rRNA from 1 species